AAGGGGAAUUUUGAAACCAUGGGGUCAAAAUUAAGCAAUGGAACGACGAAGUCGAUCGCUUGUGUUCCCAUCACUUAAGGAAAAAUAUCAAAAA
rnacentral:snoRNA from 1 species